rnacentral:lncRNA from 1 species
UGGCAAUAAAGAGAGGGCACUGUGGCUAUGCUUAGCCAGAGAUACUUUCUUGCAAGAAGACUGGGGUUGCAGAGUCUGAGUUGGACCUGAAUUUGCCCUUCCCAUUUCCUCCCCACAGCCUUUGUAAAGCAGGAAUGAUUUUUCCUCAGCCCUCCCUGCUGCUUGGGAAAGAGAAAACGGAAUUUUAUUCUUCAGUAACACUGAGACCAAGGCAUGAGACCUGAAUUGCUCAGAGAAUGAACAUCUGGUAAAGAUGGCAACACUCUGGGCUCCAUCUCA